UACGUAGGUGGCAAGCGUUGUCCGGAUUUACUGGGCGUAAAGAGCGCGCAGGCGGUCGUUCAAGUCGCGUGUGAAAGCCCCCGGCUCAACUGGGGAGGGUCACGCGAUACUGAUCGACUCGAAGGCAGGAGAGGGAAGUGGAAUUCCCGGUGUAGUGGUGAAAUGCGUAGAUAUCGUAAGGAAGACCAGUGGCGAAGGCGAAGUCUCUGGACAGCAACUGACGCUGAGGCACGGAAGGCCAGGGGAGCAAACGGG
rnacentral:rRNA from 1 species